UAACGAAGCAAGUAAAAUAUUAGAAAACUGUGGGAUAAUACGGAACGGUGCAGUGCGAUUAUGCGCAUUUUACCUAUUUACUUUUGAAGAAUACAUUACGAUUGUGCCCCAAAAAAUAGCAUGAUUGCGUCCGUCUGGCCUUUUGAGACUCGAAAAAUGCAACACAAUUGCGCUCCAAAAAAUAUAGGUGUCCUUUUUUAGUCACCGUAUUUAGAACACGAUUGAUGGCUUUGCAAAAACUCAUGAUCUUAUACGAUAUAGCGAGUGGUAUUCCCAUAGGGUAUACUAAAAGUGCAUAUUAUACAUAAUAUACUAUACUCUCAAAACUUGAUUGAAAGAUCACGAAUAUAAUGCGUAUUCUCUUAAAUAGUUAAAAAACAAAAAACAAAAUUCCAUCGUGUUACUAUUAUCAUAGUGU